rnacentral:lncRNA from 10 species
CUCCACCUUGGGUUCACUGCCUCUGCCUAGUCUCUGGCCCCUAAUGGCUUCAGUGAUGUGGCUUAAUGAGGAGAUCCCUGGAGCUGAACUAGAAUUAAAACAAAUGGAAAUCCUGUGGGGAUUUUGUCACCUCUUCUGCACUCACCAUUGAGAAGAAUUUAAAUGAGAGCCAGCCUGGCAAUUAGUGUGUCAUCCUGUAGCUGUGACGAAGGAGUACUUCUGUGGGUUCUGAUGCUGGAGCAGGUGAGGGUGGUGGCUACCCCUGGUGAGGUGAAGUCUGUCUAGGCAGAAGCCCCCUCCUCUACUGCCAGGAACCCUGGAUGUCAUGGCAGGCCCUGUCUCAACUCACCAAGGCCAGGAACUCUUUGCCUUGGCCACAGUGCUACCACCAAAUGUUAUCUGUAUAACUCUCUCAACUAAGCAAAAAUAACUGACUGAGAAUCCUUCACCAUUUCCCAUCAUAAGUCCCAUUUAUUCAGAGCUAGAGGCUGAGGUUUACAAGUGGGAACACUGCCAGUCUAGCCAUCAGGACUGAAAGCUCAGUGGAACAAGCUUGAACUGACAGCUGGCUUUUAAAUAUCCACAGAACUUUCUGCAUGGUGUUGUGGCUGGCCCAGGCUUUGCAGAGACUGCUGCUGCUGCCCACAGUGGUGUCAACUAGAACUGAAAAUGGGAACCGCUCAUCCUUGCCUACUGUCUGUGUCUACCCAGUGUCUUUUCCUCCAGAGCAGGGGUUGCUGGAUAGAAUGCCAUAGAUGCGUCAAGAACAGCCUUCACUGUAAUCUCCACACUCUUAGACAGGGGUUCAUCUGAGCAGAGGACUAAAUCCUUUCUUGGCAUGUGGGCUAAAGUCUCUUGGCAAAGAAACGGAGGUCCCAGCUCAUCAGAAAUUCUAUCUUCGGCAGCCAUGAGCAGAUGGAUUGGAGUUUCUUGGGGUCGAGCAUUUGCACUUGUCCACCUCCACCUCCAAACUGGAUAUUUAUAGUAGAAAAACAAUCUGUUGGUUGGGAAGAGCAAGGAACCCUCAUGGCAGCAUGGGGUGGUGCAGAGAAAAUGUGGUGGGAGUUCUGAUCUUCUUGAACUUCUAUGUGCCCAAUGCUCAUUGUCUUUGACUUCACUACAAUGAAGCUUUGGAAUCUUUGGGGCAUUUUUUUCUUACCUUUUGAGAGUUCCAUUUUUAUAUUUGCAAAAUGACAGAUUAGAUAAGAUGAUCAGGUUUAUAGUGUUGGUGACAGGCAUAAAGUGACAUGGCCCCUGCUAAUAAAGAAAGAUAAGGCUAGAAACUCAGUAACAAGUCAGUAUUUCCCAUUACUAGUAUAUCUAGAAGCCGACAAGCUUGUGCUUAUUCAUCCCUACCUACAUGCCAGGGACUGAUAGCACAUGUUUGGGAUGUGAGAAGCCAGAAUUAGAGAUAUUAUCUCUGGCCCUAGACUAGAGCAAAACCAAUCAAAUCCUGCAGGCCAGAAUCUAGGAUUCAUCAAAAGGAUGCUUCAACCUACUAAACUCACAAAUUCUGGGUGGUACCAGGAAAAGAUUCUCUUUUUGGCUGCAAAAUCUUAAAGAUUAAACAAAAGUAAAGCAAUAUUCUAAAAUAUUAUCUCAUGACUUUUCCUUUAUAGGUAAUGCCUUUUUACCUACAACUCUUUCACCUUUGAAACUAGACCAUCAGGCUGAAGCUAAUUGCCCCAGGGCACCAUAGAACCUCUUGAGAACCAAGACUUAGAGUAUUGUUUUUGAGUUCUUGAAAGCCAAUAUUUGCUAUUGCAAGAGCUAGGACUCACUGUAGUUAUUGCUGCAUUGUUUUCGUUUUAAUAUCAAAACUUAGCUUUGACUGUGGCAAGAAAAGGCUGAAGGACUCAAGCAUAGAAUUUACACUACAAAUUAGAGGAAGAAGUUCCUAAGGAUGUAAAGACAGUUGCACCAUCACACAGAGAAGAGGUAGGACCUUUUCUAGACUUGAGAGAAAAUCCUGAAGAAGAUGGGAAGAUGACUACAAACAAGUUUCAGUGGUAAGUAUUGGCCAUGCUCCAUGUUCUACUUUGAGGUUGAAACCCUGGGAGAGGGGGUGGUGGAGAACUCCACAUAGUGAGCCAAGAGGCCUUUACCAUGCUUCUUGCCUGGACUAGUAGUAUCAGUGUUCUUGCCUGGACCCAGAGGACCACACCACUAUGGAGAGUUGUGUAGAUGAAAGGUGUAAUGGUUUGAAUGCUUAUAUCCUCCAAAACUCAUGUUGAAAUUUAAUUGCCAUUGUAACAGUAUUAAGAGGUGGAACCUUUACAAGGUGAUUAAGCCAUAAGGGAGGGCUCCACCCUUAUGAAUGGAUUAAUGCCACUAUCAUGGGAUUGGGUUCAUUAUAAAAGGGUUAGUUCAGCCCCCUUUUCUCCUCUUAACCUCUCUCUGCCCUUCUGCCAUUUCUGUGCCUUCUACAAUAUGAUGGCAUGCAAAAAAGCCCCCCCAACCCCCGAGAUGCCAGCACCUUGAUCUUGGACUUCCCAGUCUUCAGAACUAUGAGAAAUACCUUUUUGUUUAUUACAAAUUACUGUCUCAGCUAUUCUGUUAUAGCAGCAUAAAAUAGACUAAGGCAACAUGAUAGGUAUGGGCAAAGAGAGGGCCAGAGGAAAUAAUUCCUCCUACCUCAACCCCCUAGACUGCCUCCCUAAGGGUGUGGAAGAGAUCUCAUGUGCCCGAGUAGAACACAGGUGGCCAUAGUUUGAAAUCCAGGAGACCUUCCAGGGUAGCCAGGGGAAGGAGAGCCCAGGUAGGAGCUGAGCUGGCAUUGAAGCCUCAGAAAGCCACAGUGCCUGUGAGAGCUGAAGUAGGAGCCCAGCUGGCUAGAGGAGCCUGUUGAGCUGACCCAGGACAAUGACAAGCAUCCUGCAAGAAUUGCGAGACACCCAGCAGCAGGCAGCAGCAGAGAAGAGAGCCGGCUGCCAAGGUCAUGCACAAUUUCCACUCCUGCCCAUACCCAGAACUUAAGAGACCCCUGAUAGGACUGAGACAGUGACUAACAGGGGGCUAGCAGGUCUAAGAAAGCUCAUGGGACAGAAGAGGAGGGCACUGGGAGACUGCAUGGACUGGUCAGUGGAGGCCAUAGUAGAGCAGUGGUCAACUAGUGGAAACAACCUUAGUGGAAACAAGCAAGGCAAAAGGAUGGCUUAGAUACCAAAUACCCCCUUCCCCUCAUUCCUGUAGCAUUCAGGGUGUCCUCUGACUGUACAUGGGCAGGCAUGGUGAGGGUCAGCCACUAUUUGAGACACAGAAAAGGGAAAGGACAUCUCCAGUUGAGAUAGUUCAUGCAAAGAUUACAGAACUGAUUGAUCAAAUUCAGACAAAUAUGUGCUGUAGAGAACUGCAGGAUCAACCAUGUCAUAAGACAGGCCAGCUCACCCUGCCCAGAAUGACACACCAGAAGAGCCAGCACAGGGAAGCCAAGGAGUGUGGGGAUCUAGUCCAGAAGACGUGGAGCUGUGUGACCUGGACACCUUUCUUGACCCUAUUAGGCUCAAAUACCUCAUCUGUAAUACAAACCUUAAUGGGUGCUAUUAAUGGCUAAAUUGUAUCCCUCUAAAAAGAUAUGUUGAAGUUCUAAUCCCCAAUGCCUCAGAAUGUGACCCCAUUUGGAGACAGGAUUUUAACAGAGGUAACCCAAUUAAAAUGAGGUAAUUGGGGUAGGCCCAAUCCAAUGUGACUGGUGUCCUUAUCAAAAGGGGGAAUUUGGACACAGAUGCAGACAUGACAGAGGGAAGAUGAUUUGAUGACAUGCAGGGAAAAGGCAGCCACAUGACUGGAGUGAUACCUCUACCAGCCAAGGAAUGACAAGAAUUGCAGAGAAACACCAGAAACCAGAAGAAGCAAGGGAGGAUUCUCCCUUAGAGACAUCAGAAAGAGCAUGGGCCUGCUGACACCCUGAUUCUGGACUUGGACUUCUGGCUUGCAGAACCGUGAGACAGUAAAUUACUGUUGUUUUUAGCCAUCCAGUUUUUGAUACUUUGUUAUGGCAACCCAAGGAAACUAAUAUAGGUGGCCUGCAAGGUUUGAAUGUGUGAUGUAUGAAAAGCAUCAACUACAUAACAGAUUCUAAAACACUGAAAAUUAUAACAAUAAAUACUCGCUAUUUGAUGCUUAAACCUCUUUAUGACUCUGGGCUCAAGGGCCUAGGAUCUUCUGGUUCAAAGAUAACCUUGGUUGGUACCAACAUUUUUACUCAUAAUAAUUGGCAUGUGAUAAUAAUAACAGGAAGUUCUCAAUAUUCUCCAGCCUACAGCCACAUUUUAAAAAAAGUUUGGUUUAAUUUAUUUUA